rnacentral:rRNA from 1 species
UGAGGAAUGUUGCGCAAUGGGGGAAACCCUGACGCAGCAACGCCGCGUGAGUGAGGAAGGUUUUCGGACCGUAAAGCUCUGUCGAGCGGGAAGAAAUGCAUAGUGGCUAAUAUCCAUUAUGCUUGACGGUACCGCUAAAGGAAGCACCGGCUAACUCGUUGCCAGCAGCCGCGGUAAUACGGGGGGUGCUAGCGUUGUUCGGAAUCAUUGGGCGUAAAGAGCGUGUAGGCGGCUGGAUAAGUCAGAUGUGAAAGCCCUGGGCUUAACCUAGGAAGUGCAUUUGAAACUGUUCAGCUUGAGUAAGGGAGAGGAAAGUGGAAUUCCUGGUGUAGAGGUGAAAUUCGUAGAUAUCAGGAGGAACACCGGUGGCGAAGGCGACUUUCUGGCCCUAUACUGACGCUGAGACGCGAGAGCGUGGGUAGCAAACA